rnacentral:lncRNA from 1 species
GCUUCCUGUAACCUUCCUCUUGUUCCUCAGAUCUUCCAUAGCUAGGCUUCCUGUAGCCUUCCUCUUGAUCCUCAGAUCUUCCAUAGCUAGGCUUCCUGUAACUUCCUUCUUCCUGAUCCUCAGAUCUUCCAUAGCUAGGUUUCUUGUAACCUUCCUCUUGUUCCUCAGACCUUCCAUAGCUAGGCUUCCUGUAACCUUCUUCUUGUUCCUCAGACCUACCAUAGCUAGGCUUACGCUCAUACUCAGACUCUGAUCUGCCACCAUAUCCAGAUCCAAGACCCGAUUCAGGUCUCCUCCCAUACUCAACCUCAGUUCUUCCACCACCAGAUCCAUACUCCGAUUGAUUCUCCGUUCUACCACCAUAACUCUGCUCAGGUCUCCGACCAUACUCCGUCUCAGUUUCACCACCAUAUCCAGAUUCAGGCCUCCUACCAUACUCACUCUCCGUCUGACCACCAUAACCAGAUCCAGAUCCAUAACCAGGAUUCGGCCUCUCACCUUGAACAUGACCGCCACCACCUGAAUCGGGUCGAAAUGCGG